rnacentral:tRNA from 2 species
GGAGAGGUGUCCGAGUUGGCCGAAGGAGCGCGACUGGAAAUCGCGUAGGCGGUUUAACGCCGUCUCGUGGGUUCGAAUCCCACCCUCUCCG